rnacentral:lncRNA from 1 species
UUUCCUGUUUCCUGUCCAUAAACUGCCUAUCCCAUCUCCCUACCCCUUCUUCUGUGAGAGUAUUACCUCUCUCACCCACGCACACUUUCCCAGCUCCCCUCCCUGACAUAUCCCUAUAUAGGAGAUGAAGACUUGGCAAGACCAAGGGCUUUUCCUCCCGUUUUUGACCAACAAGAUCAUCCUGGCUACAUAUGCAGCUGGAGCCAUGGUUCUGUCUAUGUGUGCUCUUUGUUGGAUGGUGGUUUAGCCCCAGGGAACUCUGGUUGGUUGGUUGGUAUUGUUGUUCUUAUGGGGAUGCAAGCCCUGUAAGCUCUUUCGAUUUUUUUUUUAAUCCCGCAAUGGGGACCCUGUUUUCAGUUCAAGUGUCCACAUCUGUAUUUGUCAUGCUCUGGCAGAGUCCCUCAGGAGAUAGCUAUAUCUGGCUCAUAUCAGCAUGUACUUCUUGGUAUCAACAAUAUUGUCUGGGCUUGGUGGAUGUAUGUAUGUAUAUGGCCUGGAUCCCCAGGUGAGGCCGUC